rnacentral:rRNA from 1 species
GACGAACGCUGGCGGCGUGCUUAACACAUGCAAGUCGAACGGUGAAGCGCCUUCCUUUUUGGUGGGUGUGGAUGAGUGGCGAACGGGUUAGUAACACGUGAGUAACCUGCCCCCUCCUUCUGGAUAACCGCAUGAAAGUGUUGCUAAUACGGGAUAUUCUGGGUCUGUUGCUUCAUGGGUCUGGGAAAGAUAUUGUUUCGGUGGGGGAUGGGCUCGCGGCCUAUUAGCUAGUUGGUGGGGUGAUGGCCUACCAAGGCGGCGGUGAAUAGCCGGCCUGAUAGGAGGGUCGACGGCACUGCUGCGACGGCGCGGCGGACCAGACUACGGCGGGAGGCAGCAGUGGAGAAUACGCAACGAUGGGAGGCAGGCCGAUGCAGCGACGCGGGGUGAGGGAUGGAGGCCUUCGGGUUGUGAACCUCUUUCACCAGUGAAGCAGGCCUGCAUCGUCUGUGGGUGGGUUGACGGUAGCUAGAUAAGAAGCGCCGGCUAACUACGUG